rnacentral:misc_RNA from 1 species
UACGAAGGGGGCUAGCGUUGUCCGGAAUUACUGGGCGUAAAGCGCGCGUAGGCGGCCUGGCAAGUCAGGUGUGAAAGCCCGGGGCUCAACCUCGGAACUGCGCCUGAUACUGCCAAGCUCGAGACCGGAAGAGGAGAGCGGAAUUCCCAGUGUAGAGGUGAAAUUCGUAGAUAUUGGGAAGAACACCAGUGGCGAAGGCGGCUCUCUGGUCCGGUUCUGACGCUGAGGCGCGAAAGCGUGGGGAGCAAACAGG